GUGGUAGUAAUAAAAUUUAUGAAAUCAUAAAAUUUUGGCGGUAUUUUAAGCUUGUUAGAGGAAUUUGCUCUAUAAUGGAUAAAACGCCUCAAUCUUACUUAAUUUAGUUUAAAAGUCAGUUUGUAUACCACUAUAUUUAAUUAUAUUGAAUAGUAAUAUUUAAGAAUUUUAAAUAAAAAGUAUAUUAAGUCAUGGUGCAACUAAUAAUUAUGAAUGAAGUGAAUUACAUUGUUUAUAAAAAUAUUUAUAUAAAUGAAAAAAUUUUAUAGGAUUUAAUAGUAAAAUAUUAAUAUAAUGAAUAUUUGAAUAAAGCUCUAAAAUAUGUACACAUCGCCC
rnacentral:rRNA from 1 species